rnacentral:rRNA from 1 species
UACGGGGGGAGCAAGCGUUGUUCGGAUUUACUGGGCGUAAAGGGCGCGUAGGCGGUCAGCACAAGUCAGUUGUGAAAUCUCCGGGCUUAACUCGGAAAGGUCAACUGAUACUGUGCGACUAGAGUGCGGAAGGGGCAACUGGAAUUCUCGGUGUAGCGGUGAAAUGCGUAGAGAUCCGGAGGAACACCAGAGGCGAAGGCGGCCUACUGGGCUGCACCUGACGCUGAGCCGCGAAAGCCAGGGGAGCGAACGGG